UCCUUUCUUAAUCCCGAUCCAAUCUCCAAUCCCCUACGCCGCUCCUCUCCCAAGCUCCCACCCCCAUCCGCCUCCGCCGCCCCCACCAUCUAUGCAAUAACCUCGCCAUUGAGAGGCCGAAGGAAGCCACUGCAGCGCCGCCGCCGCUGCAGGCCGUCGGGCACGGCAGGAGGAGCCCUCCGUGCGCCUGCUCUUCCCGACGCUGUCGGGUCACCGUCCAUGGCGUGAUCUCCGUUGCCGCGUUUCCUCCCCGAUGCUGCGCCCACGAACGCGGCUGGCCCAUCCAUCUCAUUGACGCCCGUGUCACCACCUUCGUGGUCCUCCUCCAGCGUCCACCGUGGUGGGAGCAGAGUGCAGCCCGGCCAUGACGGGUACCAUCUUCCCGCGCUCCCUAGCCUCCCAGCAUCUACUCGUCGUCGUCAGCCACCAUGGUCGGCAAGGCCAACCUCCACGGCGACUGGAUCUGCCACCACAGCCACGAGGACGACCAUCCUCCAUGGCCACCCCACUGCCCGCCUCACCAUCGGAUCCGCCGUCCUGGGCGUACACCCGCGCAUGGUCGGCAGAUGUAGGCGUCGCCGGCCGCCUCUACAACGACGAGCACUGUGACUGUCAUCUAUCUAUUUCCCUUUUUUGUAGGAUAUCCAGUGAAUUUUGAAGUUUUGUUCUACUGAUGAACUAGGUGAUGUCAAACUGAUGAACUAAUUUACUUACUAUAAGUUAAUGAACACUCAAUUCAUAUUGUUAGAAUUUGUGUUAUAUAGAUUUGGGGCACUUUUAUGUGCAUAGAUGCUUGGCACUUUGAGAAAUAUUAACAGUUUGUUUGCACAGCAUGUCAGUUUUACUAUCAUCACUUUGAGAAAUAUACAAUUCUAGUGCAACCUGUAUUUGCAUUCUAAAUUAGCUACUUCAUCACAUUCAUGCGUGCAUGAGGUUAAUACAUACUCACAUGUAAAAUGGCUGCAUUCUUUAAGGUCCAGUUCCAAACAAAUUUAAGAGGAAUUCAUUUAGUUUGUGUUGAUACCAUAAGGUACGUAUUUUGGCAGUUCAUUCAGUUUCAUUACCUGCCAUCUUUUGCAGCUUCGGGUAUUACAUCUCAAUGUUUUUUGCAUGAUUUUUUCCAUAUAUUACUUUGAUGUGCCUAAUUUCUGGAGAUGCCUUUUUUUGCUAGUUGUUCAUCUAAGCUUACUGCUGCCUGAUGCCUCAACUGCGGUUUCUAAUCGGCGACAAGUAGUUGUACAAUAUUUGCAUCAUGUUUGAGAGUAAAGUUGAUAAAUCCAUGUAGGCAGAGUUGUGCUUAUUGAUUUUUCAUGCAGUGGGUAGUGCUCUAUUCCCUACUAGUCCAGUGUGCUUGGUGUUGAUGAGGUAACACAGAAACUCGAGGAACCUUGGUGCCUUGUUGUUGUUGAACUUACGGACUUCCGCACUCAAUAGGGAGAAGGUCUCCUAGCUAGCCACGGGAAGGAGCAUGGCUGCCGGUGGUGUCCGGCGUGGACGAAUUAACUCGGUCUACUUCUCUGCAUUUUUUCCCUUUUUGCAGUUGGCUGUGUUCCCAAUAGAAAAGGCAUGUGACUUUCUUAAUAAUUCUGAUUACUAGUCAUGUUUUGUUGACAAAGUAAGCAAGUACUGAAUUUAUAUUCUAACUAAUAUUCUAACUAGCCAAGAUAUAUGUUUUUAUGCAAAGUUGGUUAUGUAUUUAUCUGUUCUCAGUUGGAUUCAUUAAUUGAUUACCUGAUUGCAUCCUUGUCCGAAACUGAGCUUAUAUCAAUUAAGUAUGUUCGCUUUGAAUCGGUUCAUUUGAUAUUGUUGUGCAUGUCGCUUGCAGUUUCUCUUCCCCAAAACUUUGUAUGCUGUAUUUUAUCAGGCUACCAUUAUCAACAAAUUUAACUUUGAUCUACAACUUUAAUCUUUAUAGGGACCAAUAUCUUCUGUUACUAAUAUGUUAACAUUUGUGUUGCAAAUUCUAACCCUUUGCUUGAUGAUGAUGCAAGACAUAUUGUAAGAAGUAGGGAUGAACAAAGGACUGAAACAACUGUUGAUGCCUUCAAAAAGUCACACAAGAGGAAACUAGCAUAUGCUCCUUGUUCUGAUGACGACGAGGGCUAUUCAAUUAUGUUCAAGAGGAAAAUACUCAUUUGUUAAUCUAGUCCAUGUUAUCUAUCAAUGGUACAUGUCGCAUUAGGCUGCUAUGUAGCUCGUGUUAUUUUUUUCUCAUGUAUUAUGCGAAGUAUGAGCAUGGGGUAUGCCUAAAGAUCUGGCGGGUCUGGAAGCUGUACUUCAUUAACACAAAUCCGAGUUCUAGAAGAAAGAAUUGAACAGAAAGAUACAGAGGCAAGAGAUGCAAAUGACAGGGUUGUAGACUUGACAUCCUAUCAAUGUUGGGGAUAUCGCUUAUCGGGAACUUAUCGGUCGACCCAUGAUAAGGGGUAAAUCGGCCAGUUUAUCGGCAUAUCAGCCGAUUUAUCGGCAUAUCGGUUGACUUAUCGGCCGAUAUAUCUUAUCGGUCAGAUACUGGUAAGCGAUAAAUCGUCCAAUUUAUCGGAAUAUCGGAAGAUAUCUUGAACAGUGCAUCCUAUUGGCGAUGCUUCCUUUGGUUAUGCAUGUUGUAAACAUUAUAAGUUAUUCUUGGGUUUACUGUUUCAUUGGCCCAUCGACAUGCUUACCUUGACAUUUAAUAAUGUACUUUUCUAUUUCAAAUUCAUCAUUAGAUAGAUUGUAGGCUUCUUAGUAGUACUCUCGUACCCUUUUAUCUUGUAUGUUUUCAUCUCAUUACGAUGCAACGUUGUUGUGUUUUGCCUAUUUAUAGCAUCAGGAGGAGUUAGUUGCAAGACUUGAAGCAUAAGAGAAAGCAUUUGAAGAGAUAUAGAAGAAGCAACAAAAAGAAUUGGAUGCUCUAAAGAAGAGCCGACAAGAGAAGAAUGAAGCUUGGGCAAAGAAGCAACAAGAGUCAGAUAAUCUUAUUAGUUUCCUCUUGAGGGCUCAAGCAACUCAAUAGUCCGAGUCUAAACUUGAUGGUGCAUGAAUGCCAUCCUUCCAUGAUGGAAAGAUAGUUGUUGAAUCAUACAUUGCAAUCAUUGAGACAACACAUGUGGUCUUUAGUUAACUAUUAGUUUUCAUCUUUUUCUACUGUAUGUUUCAAACUUGAGUCAGUGCUAUUUUUUACCAUCAUUUUUGUUUAAAGAAUGAUUUAGCUGAGACGAUUUCAUA